rnacentral:rRNA from 1 species
GACGUAGGGGGCAAGCGUUGUCCGGAAUUAUUGGGCGUAAAGCGCUCGUAGGCGGAUCGAUAAGUCUGUGAAGAAAGACCCGGGCUCAACUCGGGGAACGGCAUAGAUACUGUUGAUCUUGAGACAGUCAGAGGAUGAUGGAAUUCCAGGUGUAGCGGUGAAAUACGUAGAUAUCUGGAGGAACACCAGUGGCGAAGGCGAUCAUCUGGGGCUGUUCUGACGCUGAGGAGCGAAAAGCUAGGGGAGCAAACGGG